GGAUCGGGCGUUCCCCCUUCGGGGGGACAGGGUGACAGGUGGUGCAUGGUUGUCGUCAGCUCGUGUCGUGAGAUGUUGGGUUAAGUCCCGCAACGAGCGCAACCCUCGACCUUAGUUGCCAGCAUUCAGUUGGGCACUCUAAGGUGACUGCCGGCUAAAAGUCGGAGGAAGGUGGGGAUGACGUCAAAUCAUCAUGCCCCUUAUGACCUGGGCUACACACGUGCUACAAUGGGCGGUACAAAGGGUCGCGAACCCGCGAGGGGGAGCCAAUCCCAAAAAGCCGCUCUCAGUUCGGAUUGCAGGCUGCAACUCGCCUGCAUGAAGCCGGAAUCGCUAGUAAUCGCGGAUCAGCAUGCCGCGGUGAAUACGUUCCCGGGCCUU
rnacentral:rRNA from 1 species